rnacentral:rRNA from 1 species
UACGAGGGGGGCGAGCGUUGUUCGGAAUUAUUGGGCGUAAAGGGCGUGUAGGCGGUCAGGUAAGUGAGAUGUGAAAUGCCCCGGCUCACCCGGGGACCGGCAUCUCAUACUGCUUGGCUUGAGUACGGGAGAGGAUGUGGGAAUUCCUGGUGUAGCGGUGAAAUGCGUAGAUAUCAGGAGGAACACCGGUGGCGAAGGCGCACAUCUGGCCCGAUACUGACGCUGAGGCGCGAAAGCUAGGGGAGCAAACGGG